GCUAACGUGACUGGAAAAGACUGGAAAAUAGCCACCAAACUCAAAGCUACCAAGAAACAAACCUAACGUGACAGUGAAGAUGUCCUUGUUGCUGUCUUCAAAGUCACAGUUUCAGAUCAAGCCUACUUCAGCUUGUACCUUCUGUCCUUGAUGUCAGAUGCCAACAGAAAUAUCUCUACUGGUCCCCAGAUGGAAGGCUGAUCGAGUAGCAACCUCUCGCAAUUUUCACCAGUGCUGAUAAAGGCAGGGUUCAAUUUAACUCUCCUCAAGGUUUUCUGGUGUGGUAAAUGAACAUUACCACCAAGGUUCAAGAGCUUAUGACCAGAUUAAUUACAAACAUAAAUGCUAUGAACUGCAUAACCACAGCAAUUGACGUCAUUUG